rnacentral:lncRNA from 1 species
ACUACAGUCCCUGUUUCCAAUCCAGGCUGUAUCACAUCCAGCCGUGAUUGGGAGUCCCAUAGGGCGGCGCACAGCAUCGUCCUGGUUAGGUUCUGGCCGGGGUUGAAUUUCUCUUCAGGAGCUGGUGAAAGGGAAAACAUUGGCAUGGAUCAUCUUUCAUACAUACAAUUACCUCCCAGUGUAUGAGGAGAGCGAGCGCGCCAGAGAGAAGAGGCCCCAGCCUGUCAGCAGGAUCCUUCCAUCAGCAGCACCAUACCAUCAGUGUCCUUCCAGAACCUUCCAGCACCAUACCAUCAGUGUUCUUCCAGAACCUUCCAGCACCAUACCAUCAGUGUUCUUCCAGAUCAGAUCCUUCCAUCAGCAGCACCAUACCAUCAGUGUUCUUCCAUAUCCUUCCAUCAG